GCCCCCCGGCGUUGCUCAUGCAAGAGCUCAAGACACGCGUCGGCCUCUUUCCUCAAUAUCCUGUGCUCAGUCAAUAUUUAUUCCAGCUUCUCGUUGCUUUCUCCACAUUAGUUUCAGGAGAGGCCAAGACAUCCUUGAAGCUGGUUCCGGAUACCGCCCGAGUUCAGCUGAGCGGAUGCCGCCCCAUGCUGCUGGGAAGGAAGACAUGCUGCCUGCAGUGAGCUCAGCUGUCCUUGCAAGCAUGGGGGCCCAGAUUCGUCAUAAUUGUCCAUGGGCAUGUUUUCAUUAACUUGAGGCUUAGAAGACUUCAUCUGUAUGUUCGGCUGCUAAAGGGACUACGGACUGCCUCACCACACUCCCCGGUGACUCCUCCUGAGCCUGAGGCUCCACAGCCCAUCCAUGAUGAGCUUUUGGGAAUGUUUCCGUACUGAACUGGACACAAGGUGGCACUAAAGAUGCUACUGGAGAAGGCACUGAACUUGAAGGUAUCAUAAAAGAUUUGGCCAUCGUGAUGAAACCGUAACCCAGGUAAGCUUUUGUCAGAUGGGAUUCCUUAAACCUGGGCUUUCGGACAGACUUUGCUGCUGGUGUACAGCUUCAGGUC